CUGCACCGGGACACAGUGACGCAGGUUUGAUUCCUGCCAGUGGACUAUCGUAAGAUUCAUAACUACUCUUGGUUAGGUUUAAUAAAUGCAUAAUCUGUUUUUAUAUUGUGUUCUAAUCUUUAUUCUAGUUCUUUUUACGUUUUCUCUUUGUUUUGCUUUUUUUGUUUUCCUUUGCUGUUGCUGCAGCUGGCACACUUUUCCGACCAUCACCAUAGAAUUCUUGUGACUUGUACUGAAUCCCCUCUUUAUGCACAAAUGCAUCAGCUUCGUUUGCCCUUUGCCUUUUAUAUUUCUUUCUUCGUUCCUUAACAGCUGAUUUCUCUUUGUACUCUGCUGUGUCUAUUCUUUUCUUAUCCACUUUCUUCCAUUCAUUCACCAUUUUCUCAUCAACAUCCAACCCUAUCUUUGGCAGCAAUUGCGAGUAUGUAAUUUCCAUUCCACUGUUGAACAACAAACAGCCAAGACUAACAGCUAAGCUUGUUUCGCGGGGAGAUGUGUACUGCUCUUUAGGGGCAAGCCCCCAAAUAACAUGAUGUAAAGACUCAUUUGGGUUUUGAGUUGCACAUCUUUCACAACCAGCAAGAAAGUUGGCAUCACCCAAACGAUCGAAAACUGGUUUGAUCACUUCGAUAAUGGCAGGGGGGGAACGGACUCUUUACAGGUUUGUGGAAUGUUGUAUUAUUGGCGACAUCCCUUUGGUAUGAGCACCACGAAUCCUUCCCAACUGGACAGAAGGUAUGCUGGGGGUUCUCCUCGGUACUGGCAUAAUGAUACAUUAUAGCUUUGGUAGCCUUAGCCGUUGCCUUUGAAUCGCCUUUAUUUUGGCGAAUACAUAGGCUGUAAAAACUUUGGAUAGCAUCGAUCCGGGCUAUGGUCAAUCUACCAGCACCACUCAAACCCUU